CUCCAUCCUGGGCUGCACCUUUACUAUUCACCCAAGUUCAGUUAGAUACAACACUCACAUUGUACAAGUUAUAUGGAACAGGAUUAUUACUUACAGAUAGGUGGCAAGGGACAACAGAAGCCCAGGAUCCACAGUGAGCUGGUCAGCCGAGGCUCUGGAGAGCUGUCGGGGGUGGAUGGAGUCCUGACUGAACAUGCCACACUUGGACUGCAGCUUAGGGAUCCCAAAAGGCAACCCACCUUGAGUUAACUCAGGGGACAUAUGAUGUUUCCUUUCCUGCCCAAUUUAUCUGGUUAAAACGUCUGAUACACUGUUGAAUAGAAGAGGCAAGGGCACAUGUUCAUGUCUUGUUCCUGAUAUUGGGAGAAAGCAUCCCGUUUUUCACCACUCUGGCCAGGACAGCCUAUCUGUGCAGGAGGCAUUGCUGGCACCCCGUGGGGACUGAGGACCAAGGAGGAGCUGCUCCCCCACACACGGUUCGUACUUCUGCUCUGUGAAGAGAGACAACUGUGCCCUGUCACCUUCACUGAACUAUGAGGUGUCUGCUGAACAUCUAAUUUGUGCCAGGACCAUAGUUGAGACUGAGGGGAACAGACACUCUCAGAAUCCACUUAUGACAGCUCCAAAUAUCUAUGCUCACCUUUGUCUCUUUUCCACUGGUCUCUGUGGAAGAUAUCUCCUUUCACUUUAAGGCUAAUCCUUCCAUGAGAUAUUUUUAUAAGACAUCUAUUUCCCAGAUGAGAUAUUCCCUGACAAGUUUUAGGAUAUCAUUAUGUUGUCUGCUGGCUCAUCAACUGAGAAAUCAGCUGCCAGUCUUAUUGUUGUCUCUGUAAAGGAAUGUGUUUUUCACAUCUGGC
rnacentral:lncRNA from 1 species